rnacentral:misc_RNA from 1 species
GAUGAAGAACGUAGCGAAAUGCGAUAAGUAGUGUGAAUUGCAGAAUUCAGUGAAUCAUCGAAUCUUUGAACGCACAUUGCGCCCUUUGGUAUUCCAAAGGGCAUGCCUGUUCGAGCGUCAUUUGUACCCUCAAGCUCUGCUUGGUGUUGGGCGUCUUGUCUCCAGUUUCGCUGGAGACUCGCCUUAAAGUCAUUGGCAGCCGGCCUACUGGUUUCGGAGCGCAGCACAAGUCGCGCUCUCGUCCAGCCAAGGUCAGCAAUCCACAAAGCCUUUUUUCAACUUUUGACCUCGGAUCAGGUAGGGAUACCCGCUGAACUUAAGCAUAUCAAUAAGCGGAGGA